GAUGAAGAACGUAGCGAAAUGCGAUAAGUAAUGUGAAUUGCAGAAUUCAGUGAAUCAUCGAAUCUUUGAACGCACCUUGCACCCUUUGGCAUUCUGAAGGGUAUGCUCGUUUGAGUGUCAUUGUACUCUCACACUCCCGAUCUUUGCAUUGGGAGCAGUGGACUUGGGUUUGCUGCUUCACCGUCGCUUACCUCAAAUAGGUUAGUGCAACUCUUGGUUGGACAUAGUACGGCGUGAUAAGUGUUCUUCGCCGGUGCCUCGCAAAGAGGGUGGCCGAUCGGGAUGUUGUGCUCCAAACCGUCUUCGGACAAUCUCUGACGACUUGACCUCAAAUCGAGUAGGACUACCCGCUGAACUUAAGCAUAUCAAUAAGCGGAGGA
rnacentral:misc_RNA from 1 species